GCCUCAGUAACGGCGAGUGAAGCGGCAACAGCUCAAAUUUGAAAUCUGGCCGUUUCACGGUCCGAGUUGUAAUUUGUAGAGGAUGCUUCGGCUUCGGCCCCGGUCUAAGUUCCUUGGAACAGGACGUCACAGAGGGUGAGAAUCCCGUUUGUGGCCGGCGGCCCCCGCCAUGUGAAGCUCCUUCGACGAGUCGAGUUGUUUGGGAAUGCAGCUCUAAAUGGGAGGUAAAUUUCUUCUAAAGCUAAAUACCGGCCAGAGACCGAUAGCGCACAAGUAGAGUGAUCGAAAGAUGAAAAGCACUUUGGAAAGAGAGUUAAAAAGUACGUGAAAUUGUUGAAAGGGAAGCGCUUGCGACCAGACUUGCCCGCGGAUGCUCAACCGGUCCUCCGGCCGGUGCACUCUUCCGCGGUCAGGCCAGCAUCAGUUCGGGCGGUCGGAUAAAGGCCUCGGGAAUGUAUCUCUCUUCGGGGAGUGUUAUAGCCCUUGGUGCAAUACGGCCCGCCUGGACUGAGGCCCGCGCUUCGUGCUAGGAUGCUGGCGUAAUGGUCGUAAGCGGCCCGUCUUG
rnacentral:rRNA from 1 species